AAGGAGUUCACACUCUACCUGGCAAAUGCUGGUCUGGGUUAAGCAGGGCAGUAAGGGGUCUUCUGCUGCAGAGAACACUCUGGCUGCCUCCUCCUUCCUGGCUGGCUUGGGCCCUACUCGAGUUCAGGCUUCACUGCGGCCUACACGGAGGCCUCCGUGGAAGCCCCGCCCACCCGCCAAUCAGCUGAGAGGCGGGAGAAAAGGAGCUCUUUGCAGCUUGCCUGCUGCUUCGAUUGCGGGCCAGGAGAACAAGCUGGAGAGACGACAAAAUGUGGAAAUGUCAAACCCUUACAUCAUGGAGCCAAAAAUAAAAUUCCUAAAAUUCCAACUGGAAAUCAAAUGACUCAUUUUCUAGAGGAAUGUUGCCUCCCCAUGGAAUAAAAAUACGAUGCCGGCAAGAGGAAGCCUCUUUUGGCUGGCUGCUCUCUGACCUGCCGUGUGGCGCUUGCUUCCAUUAAGAGAUCCCUUCAGCCCACAGAGAAGAGAGGAGAGGAGAAGAAUGAGCUUCAGUAAUUAUCAUUCAGAAAGGCUGACCAAAAGAAAACCAAGAAGACGUCUUUAAAUCUUCCAAAACAAUUUAGAGCGAGAAACUUAAUUCCAGAAUCAAUAAGGGCAGGAGAGUUGCAAGAGUGCUCUUCGCUCUUUUCAAUGAGCUAAACAAAUAUGUUUUAUUCCCACUAUAAAUUUCAUGCCAACGCGA